UACGUAGGGUGCAAGCGUUGUCCGGAAUUAUUGGGCGUAAAGAGCUCGUAGGCGGUCUGUCGCGUCGGCUGUGAAAACCCGUGGCUCAACCCCGGGCCUGCAGUCGAUACGGGCAGACUAGAGUGCGGUAGGGGAGACUGGAAUUCCUGGUGUAGCGGUGAAAUGCGCAGAUAUCAGGAGGAACACCGGUGGCGAAGGCGGGUCUCUGGACCGUAACUGACGCUGAGGAGCGAAAGCGUGGGGAGCGAACAGG
rnacentral:rRNA from 1 species